rnacentral:rRNA from 1 species
UACGUAGGGUGCAAGCGUUAAUCGGAAUUACUGGGCGUAAAGCGCGCGUAGGCGGCUCUUCAAGUCAGGCGUGAAAGCCCCGGGCUUAACCCGGGAAUAGCGCUUGAUACUGUUGGGCUUGAGUCCGGGAGAGGAUAGUGGAAUUCCCAGUGUAGAGGUGAAAUUCGUAGAUAUUGGGAAGAACACCAGUGGCGAAGGCGGCUAUCUGGACCGGUACUGACGCUGAAGCGCGAAAGCGUGGGGAGCAAACAGG